UUCUUCUUCCUCUCAAACGACGAAGCGACGCGCUUCCUGAGCUCACCGGAAACGGCUUCGAAACGCCACCCUUCCUUCGUAACCUCCAUCCCGUUUCCAUCCUCAAUAUAGACCUCAACACAAUCUCACUCUUCUCUCUAAUUUGGUAACAUCACAGAAAACCCUAACCUAAAUCUGAAAUUGAACAAAAAUCUUGGAGCUAGUUCGGGGAAUUCCGAUGACGGUGAAGGGCUCAGUUCAGAUGCUAUUGGUUGGGUUUUGUCGUCGCCAUGGUGUAUGCUUCAGUUGUGCGGUUCGUUGAAGGUGCGGUUGUUACAGGUUUGUGUAUGUUGAAGAAGGAGUUUAUGGAGAGUUUUUGUAUGGUUGCGUUCUUGUUGAGUUUUGUACAAGGAUUUGAGGGAAUGAGUUGGAGUUAAAGGACUAAUUUUGUAUAUUCUACAGGUGAGGUUUAUGUAGAUUUUUUCUCUCCUUUGCUUGAUUCUUAGUGCCAUUUUUAUAGAAGAAAGUGAGUGAACUUCUUGGAUAAAAGCUGAAGGAUAAAAGCAAACUUAACUAUUAAGUUAAGUCGACAUUAUACUUACCCUGUGCUUGGCUACAUUAC